rnacentral:rRNA from 1 species
CUUUCCCUCUGGCGGCAUGCUUUACACAUGCAAGUCGAACGGUAACAGGCCGCAAGGUGCUGACGAGUGGCGAACGGGUGAGUAAUGCAUCGGAACGUGCCCAGUCGUGGGGGAUAACUACUCGAAAGAGUAGCUAAUACCGCAUACGAUCUAUGGAUGACAGCGGGGGACCGUAAGGCCUCGCGCGAUUGGAGCGGCCGAUGUCAGAUUAGGUAGUUGGUGGGGUAAAGGCUCACCAAGCCAACGAUCUGUAGCUGGUCUGAGAGGACGACCAGCCACACUGGGACUGAGACACGGCCCAGACUCCUACGGGAGGCAGCAGUGGGGAAUUUUGGACAAUGGGCGCAAGCCUGAUCCAGCAAUGCCGCGUGCAGGAAGAAGGCCUUCGGGUUGUAAACUGCUUUUGUACGGAACGAAACGGCUCUGGUUAAUACCCGGGGCUAAUGACGGUACGGUAAGAAUAAGCACCGGCUAACUACGUG